rnacentral:rRNA from 1 species
CCUACGGGAGGCAGCAGUGGGGAAUAUUGCGCAAUGGGCGAAAGCCUGACGCAGCGACGCCGCGUGAGGGAUGAAGGUCUUCGGAUCGUAAACCUCUGUCAGCAGGGAAGAACGGUCACUGUGCUAAUCGGCAGUGAAUUGACGGUACCUGCAAAGGAAGCACCGGCUAACUCCGUGCCAGCAGCCGCGGUAAUACGGAGGGUGCGAGCGUUAAUCGGAAUUACUGGGCGUAAAGCGCUCGUAGGCGGUAUGUCAAGUCAAGGGUGAAAUCCCCGCGCUCAACGUGGGAACUGCCUUUGAAACUGGCAAACUGGAGUGUGUGAGAGGAUAGUGGAAUUCCAGGUGUAGGAGUGAAAGCCGUAGAUAUCUGGAGGAACAUCAGUGGCGAAGGCGACUAUCUGGCACAUAACUGACGCUGAGGAGCGAAAGCGUGGGUAGCAAACAGGAUUAGAUACCCCAGUAGUC